GACGUAGGGCGCGAGCGUUGUCUGGAUUUAUUGGGCGUAAAGAGCUCGUAGGCGGCUCGUUGCGUCGGCUGUGAAAACCCGCGGCUCAACUGCGGGCUUGCGGUCGAUACGGGCGGGCUAGAGUUCGGUAGGGGAGACUGGAAUUCCUGGUGUAGCGGUGAAAUGCGCAGAUAUCAGGAGGAACACCGGUGGCGAAGGCGGGUCUCUGGGCCGAUACUGACGCUGAGGCACGAAAGCCAGGGGAGCGAACGGG
rnacentral:rRNA from 1 species